rnacentral:rRNA from 1 species
CCUACGGGUGGCAGCAGUCGAGAAUCAUUCACAAUGGGGGAAACCCUGAUGGUGCGACGCCGCGUGGGGGAAUGAAGGUCUUCGGAUUGUAAACCCCUGUCAUGUGGGAGCAAAUUAAAAAGAUCGUACCACAAGAGGCAGAGACGGCUAACUCUGUGCCAGCAGCCGCGGUAAUACAGAGGUCUCAAGCGUUGUUCGGAAUCACUGGGCGUAAGGCGUGCGUAGGCUGUUUCGUAAGUCGUGUGUGAAAGGCGCGGGCUCAACCCGCGGACGGCACAUGAUACUGCGAGACUAGAGUAAUGGAGGGGGAACCGGAAUUCUCGGUGUAGCAGUGAAAUGCGUAGAUAUCGAGAGGAACACUCGUGGCGAAGGCGGGUUCCUGGACAUUAACUGACGCUGAGGCACGAAGGCCAGGGGAGCGAAAGGGAUUAGAUACCCUAGUAGUC